CAGCCCUUUGUCGCUAAGAU
rnacentral:snRNA from 1 species